AUUGAACGCUGGCGGCAGGCCUAACACAUGCAAGUCGAACGGCAACAGGAAGAAGCUUGCUUCUUUGCUGACGAGUGGCGGACGGGUGAGUAAUGUCUGGGAAACUGCCUGAUGGAGGGGGAUAACUACUGGAAACGGUAGCUAAUACCGCAUAACGUCGCAAGACCAAAGAGGGGGACCUUCGGGCCUCUUGCCAUCGGAUGUGCCCAGAUGGGAUUAGCUAGUAGGUGGGGUAACGGCUCACCUAGGCGACGAUCCCUAGCUGGUCUGAGAGGAUGACCAGCCACACUGGAACUGAGACACGGUCCAGACUCCUACGGGAGGCAGCAGUGGGGAAUAUUGCACAAUGGGCGCAAGCCUGAUGCAGCCAUGCCGCGUGUAUGAAGAAGGCCUUCGGGUUGUAAAGUACUUUCAGCGGGGAGGAAGGGAGUAAAGUUAAUACCCUUGCUCAUUGACGUUACCCGCAGAAGAAGCACCGGCUAACUCCGUG
rnacentral:rRNA from 1 species